rnacentral:rRNA from 1 species
UAUUAUUUAAUACUUAUUUAAAUAUACCGAAGUAGUAAGAGUUAAGUUCUUGAAACUUAAAGAAUUUGACGGUAUUUUAGUCCUUUUAGAGGAAUCUGUUCCGUAAUUGAUAAUACACGAUUAGUUUGACUUGAUUUUUUAAUUUGUAUAUCGCCGUCAUAAGAAUAUUUCAUUGAGAAUUUUAAAUUUCUUUAUUUUGUAUUAAAUAGYAUGUCAGGUCAAGGUGCAGUUUAUAAUUAAGUGGAAAUGGAUUACAUUAAAUUUAUUUAUUGGAUAUAAAUUUUAAAGUUUUAUUUAAAAUGGAUUUAAUUGUAAAUUUAUUUUAAUUGUUAAGUUGAUUUUGGCUCUGAAAUGUGUACAUAUCGCCCGUCGCUCUCAUUAUAAGUGAG